rnacentral:rRNA from 1 species
AGUGAACGCUGGCGGUAGGCCUAACACAUGCAAGUCGAACGGCAGCACAGUAAGAGCUUGCUCUUACGGGUGGCGAGUGGCGGACGGGUGAGGAAUACAUCGUAAUCUACUUUUUCGUGGGGGAUAACGUAGGGAAACUUACGCUAAUACCGCAUACGACCUACGGGUGAAAGCAGGGGAUCUUCGGACCUUGCGCGAUUGAAUGAGCCGAUGUCGGAUUAGCUAGUUGGCGGGGUAAAGGCCCACCAAGGCGACGAUCCGUAGCUGGUCUGAGAGGAUGAUCAGCCACACUGGAACUGAGACACGGUCCAGACUCCUACGGGAGGCAGCAGUGGGGAAUAUUGGACAAAGGGCGCAAGCCUGAUCCAGCCAUACCGCGUGGGUGAAGAAGGCCUUCGGGUUGUAAAGCCCUUUUGUUGGGAAAGAAAAGCAGCAGGUUAAUACCCCGCUGUUCUGACGGUACCCAAAGAAUAAGCACCGGCUAACUUCGUG